CUUCGGGCUUUAUUUGCGCAGGAUAGGUGGGAGGCGUUGAUCAUAUUUUUGCGGAAAUAUGCUAGCCGUUGGUGAGAUACCACACUUGUAAAGCUAGAAUUCUAACCUUGUAUCGUAAGCAGGUCAAGGAGCAUUUUCAGGUGGGCAGUUUGACUGGGGCGGUCGCCUCCUAAAAGGUAACGGAGGCGCACAAAGGUUUCCUCAUAUCGGUCAGAAAUCGAUAGUAGAGCGUAAAGGCAUAAGGAAGCUUGACUGCGAGACCUACAAGUCGAGCAGAGACGAAAGUCGGUCUUAGUGAUCUGACGGUUCCGAGUGGAAGGGCCGUCACUCAACGGAUAAAAGUUACUCUAGGGAUAACA
rnacentral:rRNA from 1 species